AUCAGAUCAUGUCUCGCCAUGCCACCAAACGCUGAAGACGUCGUUCUGACCCGGAAGACUUGUUUCUCACGUGUGAAAUGAGAACAACGGCGUGGUGACUCAUCGCUGCCAGUGCCUGCGUUAGUUUGUGGUGUUGGCUUCACAGUCCAGAUAAGUUAGCCAGCUGGAUCGUUGUGGUGUGGUGAGUGUUGUUUGUUUAGUUAGUGACAUACCAGUGAAGGGAGAGUUUCCUUUGUUAUUUUAAAAGCCA